rnacentral:tRNA from 1 species
UGGGGAAUUAGCUCAGCUGGUAGAGCGUUUGGUUCGCAAUCAAGAGGUCAGGGGUUCGACUCCCCUAUUCUCCACUCG